rnacentral:lncRNA from 1 species
AAAACUAACAAUACAAACAAACAAAAAAGAAUGGGGAUGCAGAUGAGAAAAAACAAGCAAUCAUCGAACAAGCCACCUCAAGGUGGAGUACCAUGGAACGUCAGAGGCUUCAUGAAAGUCAGAAAAACUGAAGAGCACUUGGGGUUAGGAAUUCAAAGGUGGGCAGCUCUUAUACAGACCUUGCCCUCAACAAACCUAUAGUCUAAUGAGAGUCGAUAAACACUUAGCAAAGUAUUAAUAAUAUCCAUGGAGUGUGUAAAGCCCUAGUAAAGGAGGUAUACUGGUGGUAAGAAAUACCUAAUUUUGUGAGGUGGGGGAAUGGAAGGAUGGGGGAAGGAUUGGGUGGUCAGGGACGCGGUUUAAGCUGAGACUUGAAAGAUGAUGGAGUAGUUGACCAGGCGGUCAGAGGAACUUGGAAGCGCUAUGAUUCGGGAUCCCACAGAGAGAGAUUCAAGGGCACCUUGGCAGAUAUGGUUUACAGUGACCUCUGGUGUGACAGAUCAUUAGCAUUGUGAACAUGCAAAAACGAUGAAGUUCUGCCCUUCAUUUCACCAGAGCUGGGCUCGCCUCAAAUUCCUGGUUCCUUAUUCCCG